rnacentral:rRNA from 1 species
GUGAAUCAUCGAAUCUUUGAACGCACCUUGCGCUCCUUGGUAUUCCGAGGAGCAUGCCUGUUUGAGUGUCAUGAAAUCAUCAACCUUACAGCUUUGUUGUUGUAAGGCUUGGACUUGGGAGUUGCUGGUGGUCUAACUAUCGGCUCUUCUUGAAUGCAUUAGCUAAACUUCCGCUGGUUGGCUUACGGUGUGAUAAUUAUCUGCAUCUGACUGCUACUGGCAAUGGAACUAGCUUCUAAUCGUCUUCGGACAAUCACUUAAGAUCUGACCUCAAAUCAGGUAGGACUACCCGCUGAACUUAA